rnacentral:rRNA from 1 species
ACCCGCUGAACUUAAGCAUAUCAAUAAGCGGAGGAAAAGAAACCAACAGGGAUUGCCCUAGUAACGGCGAGUGAAGCGGCAACAGCUCAAAUUUGAAAUCCGGCGUCUUUGGCGUCCGAGUUGUAAUUUGCAGAGGGCGCUUUGGCAUUGGCAGCGGUCCAAGUUCCUUGGAACAGGACGUCACAGAGGGUGAGAAUCCCGUACGUGGUCGCUAGCCUUUACCGUGUAAAGCCCCUUCGACGAGUCGAGUUGUUUGGGAAUGCAGCUCUAAAUGGGAGGUAAAUUUCUUCUAAAGCUAAAUACUGGCCAGAGACCGAUAGCGCACAAGUAGAGUGAUCGAAAGAUGAAAAGCACUUUGGAAAGAGAGUUAAAAAGCACGUGAAAUUGUUGAAAGGGAAGCGCUUGCAGCCAGACUUGCCUGUAGUUGCUCAUCCGGGUUUCUACCCGGUGCACUCUUCUAUAGGCAGGCCAGCAUCAGUUUGGGCGGUUGGAUAAAGGUCUCUGUCAUGUACCUCUCUUCGGGGAGAACUUAUAGGGGAGACGACAUGCAACCAGCCUGGACUGAGGUCCGCGCAUCUGCUAGGAUGCUGGCGUAAUGGCUGU